UAAUCUUUUUUUAGAAA
rnacentral:tRNA from 1 species